rnacentral:rRNA from 1 species
CCUACGGGCGGCUGCAGUGGGGAAUAUUGGACAAUGGGGGCAACCCUGAUCCAGCCAUGCCGCGUGUGUGAAGAAGGCCCUCGGGUUGUAAAGCACUUUCAGUGAGGAAGAACGCCUGGUGGUUAAUACCCAUCAGGAAAGACAUCACUCACAGAAGAAGCACCGGCUAACUCCGUGCCAGCAGCCGCGGUAAUACGGAGGGUGCAAGCGUUAAUCGGAAUUACUGGGCGUAAAGCGCGCGUAGGUGGCUUGAUAAGCCGGUUGUGAAAGCCCCGGGCUCAACCUGGGAACGGCAUCCGGAACUGUGGAGCUAGAGUGCAGGAGAGGAAGGUAGAAUUCCCGGUGUAGCGGUGAAAUGCGUAGAGAUCGGGAGGAAUACCGGUGGCGAAGGCGGCCUUCUGGACUGACACUGACACUGAGGUGCGAAAGCGUGGGUAGCAAACAGGAUUAGAUACCCCGGUAGUC